rnacentral:rRNA from 1 species
UACACUCCUGCGGGAGGCAGCAGUGGGGAAUUUUGGACAAUGGGCGAAAGCCUGAUCCAGCAAUGCCGCGUGAGUGAAGAAGGCCUUCGGGUUGUAAAGCUCUUUUGUCAGGGAAGAAACGGUGAAAGCUAAUAUCUUUUGCUAAUGACGGUACCUGAAGAAUAAGCACCGGCUAACUACGUGCCAGCAGCCGCGGUAAUACGUAGGGUGCAAGCGUUAAUCGGAAUUACUGGGCGUAAAGCGUGCGCAGGCGGUUUUGUAAGUCUGAUGUGAAAUCCCCGGGCUCAACCUGGGAAUUGCAUUGGAGACUGCAAGGCUAGAAUCUGGCAGAGGGGGGUAGAAUUCCACGUGUAGCAGUGAAAUGCGUAGAUAUGUGGAGGAACACCGAUGGCGAAGGCAGCCCCCUGGGUCAAGAUUGACGCUCAUGCACGAAAGCGUGGGGAGCAAACAGGAUUAGAAACCCGAGUAGUCCCAUGAU